rnacentral:lncRNA from 1 species
GUGACAUAAAAGGAAUAGAGCAAUCAACAUAGUGUAACAAUUAGAAAUAGUAUAUGAAAAUAUAAAUAACUAAGACAACAGAGUAAUUUAAUAGUUUAACAAUCCCUGAUAACAUACAAAGAGAAAUAAUUAAAAAAAACAUACUAGGAAACGUAUUCAAAAAAACAUAACACUAUAACUUACUGGUGGGAUAUAUAAAUACCGAGCAGCGUCAAAGAGUAUUCAUCAAAAUACACAUAAAAAAGAAACAGGGGUGAAAAUAAACCGCAAACAGAUAAUAAAACUAAAAAAAAUAAAGAGUAUGACAAAUCCAUGGUGCGAAUCGAAACCGUCGAUAAGACGCACAUCAGUUAAUAAAAGUUCAAACCAUAACCAGGAUCCCGUACCACAAACCCCGCA